UCCCUGAAGGACUAGUGGUUAGGCCACAGCGCUCUUACGGCUGUGGCCCGGGCUCAAUUCCUGGCCAGGGAA